rnacentral:rRNA from 1 species
UCGAGAAUUUUUCACAAUGGGCGCAAGCCUGAUGGAGCGACGCCGCGUGGGGGAUGAAUGGCUUCGGCCCGUAAACCCCUGUCAUUUGCGAUCAACCGUUAUUAUUUAAAAGAUGAUAACCUGAUAGUAGCGAAAGAGGAAGGGACGGCUAACUCUGUGCCAGCAGCCGCGGUAAUACAGAGGUCCCAAGCGUUGUUCGGAUUAACUGGGCGUAAAGGGUGCGUAGGUGGCGGGGUAAGUCGGAUGUGAAAGCUCGGAGCUCAACUCCGAAAUUGCAUUGGAAACUACCCGGCUCGAGGAUUGGAGGGGGGAGUGGAAUACUUGGUGGAGCAGUGAAAUGCGUAGAUAUCAAGUGGAACACCAGUGGCGAAGGCGAGUCCCUGGACAACUCCUGACACUGAGGCACGAAAGCUAGGGGAGCAAACA